rnacentral:rRNA from 1 species
CACGUAGGCGGAGCAGAAAGUCAGAGGUGAAAUCCCAGGGCUCAACCUUGGAACUGCCUUUGAAACUCCUGUUCUUGAGGUCGAGAGAGGUGAGUGGAAUUCCGAGUGUAGAGGUGAAAUUCGUAGAUAUUCGGAGGAACACCAGUGGCGAAGGCGGCUCACUGGCUCGAUACUGACGCUGAGGUGCGAAAGCGUGGGGAGCAAACA